GAUCUCAUGCAGGCAGGAAGGCUGCCUGGAACCUCUCCCCUCUAAGGACAGUUUUGGAGGAGGACAAGCCUGCUGUGGAGAAUGGAUAAGACAAGCAUGAGCCAAUGGUAUGCACAGAAGGAGAAGAUAACUCCAAGGUACCAAGGCAGCAAUCGCCACCAGAGUCUCCUGGACCAGAGAAAGAUACUUCCCUAAGUAGAAUGAGCCCACCAGGUCCUCUCAUCAACUACUGCUCGGAACCAUGUUGACAACUCCAGAAACAAACCUAGUUUGUAAAAA
rnacentral:sRNA from 1 species